UUUGGUUAGGCCAUGUAGCACCUGAGUUGAUAUGAAAUUGAACUGGAGGAUGUCGGUGUGAUGUUAGCUUCAGUUCAACCUCAUAUCGACUCAGGUGCUACAUGGCCUAACCAAA